rnacentral:rRNA from 1 species
GAUGAACGCUGGCGGCGUGCUUAACACAUGCAAGUCGAACGGAAAGGCUCCUGCUUGCAGGGGUACUCGAGUGGCGAACGGGUGAGUAACACGUGGGUGAUCUGCCCAGCACUUCGGGAUAAGCCUGGGAAACUGGGUCUAAUACCGGAUAGGACGAUGGUUUGGAUGCCAUUGUGGAAAGUUUUUUCGGUGUGGGGUGAGCUCGCGGCCUAUCAGCUUGUUGGUGGGGUAAUGGCCUACCAAGGCGUCGACGGGUAGCCGGCCUGGGAGGGUGUACGGCGAGGUUGGGACUGAGAUACGGCCCAGACGGCUACGGGAGGCAGCGGUGGGGAAUAUUGCACAAUGGGCGCAAGCCUGAUGCAGCGACGCCGCGUGGGGGAUGACGGCCUUCGGGUUGUAAACUACUUGCGCUAGGGACGAAGCGCAAGUGACGGUACCUGGAGAAGAAGCACCGGCUAACUACGUG